AUGGAAGACUAAUCCCCAAUCGGUGAUUUGAUAACUUGAAAAGAGUGGACGAUGUUUCCGUUGCUAUUGUCCAACAACGCAGGAGCAAGAAAGAGUUUAAAUAAAGAAUUUGCAAGGGACUCCAGUUACCCGGAACUAGAAGAUGGUGGUGUUGGCCUAGGAAAGCAAAUAGAAAAGAAAGCGACGAUAUUCCAGGUAGGGGAUUCUGGACUUGCCUCAGUUAGUGAUUUUAUGCAUAUGAUAUUAAAGUAAAGUGAUUUAUGCAUGAAAGAUAUAUUUUCAAAUUCUUGUGAGUUAUUGUUUGAUGACCUGAGAGUGAGCGGGGCAUAGCGACUUCCUUGGGUUUCGAUCCCCUAAACCUCCGGAGGGGCUGUACGGACUGGAGGACGUCUAACAUCCUUUGAGGUGUGACGUCGCUCCUAGGCGGUAUGGCGUAAAUGGACACUCUCGCUACACUUUGCCAGUGUGUACGAUAAUAAUCGUGGUAAGGUUGUAGUUGGCUUGAGAUAGAUCGGUCAUCAGGUUUGUAUUUCUACUUUGGGUCCUGCUUGCAUUUUUACAAGGAAUGUGUUAUUUUAAACUGUUAUGCAUUAUUUUCACUACUAGCCAUGGCAAAUGUUUUAAAUUGUUUUCACACCUAGUUGGGGUAAAGUUUAUUGAGCAGCGAGGACGAAAGCUCACCCCUACAAUAGUUCAUGGAUGCAGGUACUGUGUAUGAAGACGGGACAGCUGGACAGCGUUAGGUGUGGCUUAGACAUUCUAUAUUCCAUGUCAUUGUCAGGGUUAUAUCCAUAUGACAGGUUUCCUUAUUUAUCGUGUCCUUGUAUACCCCUUUUAUCGAAUAUGUGUAUUUGAGAAACUAUUCAUCUUGCAAACUUUUCGAUCGUUGAUCUUGAACCUGACUGAUAUUGAUUUUUGUUUUAGAGAGGGCUUGUUUGAUUUGAAAGAUAUCUAAACGUGUUAUAUCUUCACCUUAUCUUAAAUAAACAUUUCUGCUAACAUUUUUUGAAAUUUUAAAUUUUUCCUUUGCCUUGCGGGUUCUUAGAACUUGAGUAAAGGAUCCUAGCUUGG